UGGGGAAUCUUGCGCAAUGGGCGAAAGCCUGACGCAGCAACGCCGCGUGCGGGAUGAAGGCCUUCGGGUUGUAAACCGCUUUCAGCAGGGACGAAAUUGACGGUACCUGCAGAAGAAGCUCCGGCCAACUACGUGCCAGCAGCCGCGGUAAUACGUAGGGAGCGAGCGUUGUCCGGAUUCAUUGGGCGUAAAGAGCUCGUAGGCGGCUUGGCAAGUCGGGUGUGAAAACUCCAGGCUCAACCUGGAGACGCCACCCGAUACUGCCAUGGCUAGAGUCCGGUAGGGGACCACGGAAUUCCUGGUGUAGCGGUGAAAUGCGCAGAUAUCAGGAGGAACACCGGUGGCGAAGGCGGUGGUCUGGGCCGGAACUGACGCUGAGGAGCGAAAGCGUGGGGAGCGAACAGGAUUAGAUACCCCUGUAGUCC
rnacentral:rRNA from 1 species